ensembl:lncRNA
GGGGAGUUCUGAAGGGCGACCCUAAAGAUGGAGAGCAGGAGAUGAAGACUCACCACCCCCUCAACAUCAAACCCCCGCUAACGAAACCGGAAUCCUCCUCGGCCUGGGCAUCCCGCCCCUGCUCGGUGCCCCGCUUCUCUUCCCCCCUGUGCUCCCCCGUUAGGGUCUGGUAGCCGAGACAGCUGGAUGUCCAGCGCCAGACCCUUCCCCCCAGAAACCUGGCCCCUGUUUUACAAGGCAAUCAAGAGGCCUGUCCUUACAACUGUUCAGGACCCAGAACUAUUGAAGAUGACUCCAUUUUCUCCACAGUGGAAGAAGAAGGAAAAAAGUCAAACAUUCAUCUAUUGAUGAUAGUACCAACAAAAUCCUGGGGACCAUCGUCCAUAAAGCCCAAAUGGUCAGAACCAGUCUUCCCUGUUGCACCGGAUCCUGAAGAAGGACCAACAGAAGAGUUUUAAAAAGAAAUUGAGUGACACAAAACUAAGGACAAGAGUGAUUCAGAAAAAAAAAAAGAAAGAGAAAUGGUGGAACCCAAGGCCUUAAAUGAUGCUGGGCUGAUGGUGCAAGGACUCCACUGUGAAGUUGGCCCAAGCCCCAAGAAAACUCCUAAGAAUAAAACUUUUAAGGAUCCCAAAGAUGGCUCCCAAGCCCAAGGACCCACCAGAGGAAAUUAGUCAAGUCCUAGAAAUAUUUGAGAAGAACAAGGAAAGGAUUUCCUUACUGUGUGACUUUAUCUGCCAAAAACCUACUUUGUCCAUCCUUCACCAGAAGUGCCCAAGACCAACUGAGGACAGCCUCCACCAGACUGUCCAGAAAAAGACUAUGGAGGCUAAGGGCACGUGCCUUUUCCCCAAAUGUGCAGUCUGGGCAAAUGGUCCUGUUGUGAAGCCUAGUUUACAGCCACGAAAACUCCUUCAUUCCUAAGCUACUAUAUUUACAAAGCCCCUCCCCAGGACCCAAGGCCCCCCCGGACCUCUCCGUACCUCUCCGUACCUGCGCAAGCCACUUAACCACCAGGUGGCACUAACUGGCCGCUUGCUCCGAGGGAAGUGAGGAGGAGGUCCCUGAAGUCCAUGAGUGGGAGGGCCACCCUGGCCCUCCUAGGAAUCCUUUGUCCUCCCUUAGGCCCUGGUUGGGACCAGCUUUGAGGAUGGGUCCUAAAUUUUCAAGGAAUAAUAAUAAGAAUAAACAUGAGGCCCAGGCCAAUGCAAUCUGUCUCUUGAGCUUGUCCUCCUAAAACACACAAGCUAAGCAGCCCAGCUUGCUCUUGGAGCCACCAUCCCAUGGCUUGGAAAUUGUUACCCAGAAUUUGGCAGGAAUAAUGCCAAAUAUUUGUACAGGGAAUUUACAGUUUUCAAAGCACUUCCAAGCCCAUUUUCUCAUUAGAUCAUUUGAUCAUUGACUUCAUGUGGAGCAAGUUUAAUUGACCCCAUCUUAAAGAUGGGGAAACUGAGGCUCAAAGAUUAAAUAAGUUGCCCAAACUCAAUAACAAAGUGAAAAUAGAAGUAGGACCCAUGUCUCCUGACUUCUAAUAGAAGACUCUCCAAUACUGGGUGCCUCAUUUAAUAAUCCCAGGCAGAAAACCAAGUCAUAGAGUCAGAGACCUGGUUUCCAAUCCCCCUCCUAACUUUUGAGGUUUACCAUCUGUGUGAACUUGGACAAAUCACCGGAUUUCCCUAGGUCCCAGUUUCCUUACAUGGACUCUAAUGUCCUUACUAAAUUUAAAUGUAUCUCCUACCCCACCCUGCACAGUCCUGGGCAAGAUGGAUGGGAGAAACAUUCAUUUCAUUAUAGUCUGUCACAGUCCCAGAAAGCCUAUUCUUAAACUCUUCCCUCCUCUUUGGAGUCAGAGGGUCUUCACAGGCUUCUAGUUUACAAUUUAAAUGCAAAUACCCUUUGGACAGGGAUUUCCCUCCCAUCAAUAAAACCAGGGUUAAGUCAAGGAUGGAAAAGUUGGGGGGGGGGGGGCGGGGAGAAGGAGUGAGGAACUUAAGCAUAAUCAAAGCUCCAUAAGGACAUUAACAUUCAUUUUAGUCUUCAUGUCCCCAACAACUUAUUACCUAGGAGGUGCUUAUCCCUAGGAGGUGCUUAUCCAGGCUGCUUGAUUUGUUUGUUUCAAAUGUCGCUCACAUAUAUAUGGACUUUGUUUCCCUCUGAAUAAAACUCCAUAAGGGCAGUAAUUUUCUUUUUUGUCUUUGUAUCCCCAUUGCUUGG